CCCCGCGCCGGCCGCGCCGCCAGCGCCAGCGGCAGCCGGAGCGAGCCCGGGGCCGCCCCAAAGCCGCCCCAACGCCCCGGUGCCGUCCGGCAGCGCCCGCCGGAGGAUGCCCCGACGGCCCCGUCGCCGGAGGGGGUUUGUCCGGCCCGGUCAGCGCCGAGAGCCGGGGGGACGGCGGGUCGGGGCCGCCCCCGGAGCCGGCGUUCCUCGCGGGGCGCCCCCCGGCAGCCUGAGAGCCCCCGCGCCGCGCAUGGGGGGCACGGGGCUCCCCCGCUGCUCCGCCACUGCCGCGAGAGGACAGGGAGAGCCGCGGGCAGACACACAGGGGAGCGGCGCAACCGUACCGCCGCGGAGCGCAGCGCUGUUUCUAGGCCAUCACCUCCCCCCGGGCGCUGCCCGCCGGAGGGGCCCGGCCGUGCCCCGCGGGGGGGGGGGACAAACAGCCGAACCUCGGCGAGAAAAGGGCACGGGGCCGGGGUUCGGGAGUGCUGCUGGGAGAGCGGGAGGAACCGGGAGGCAGCCUGCCUGGGAAGCGGGGAAAGAGGAAGAGAGGGAAAGCGUUUCCCUUUCGAACGGCGCCGGGACGGUCCGUGACUUUUGCACGGAAAAUUCAGGUGAUGGGAGUGAGGCCGCUCCUCGUCCCGGGACCGGGGGCAGCUGAGAGUCCGGCAGCAAACCCCAGCCCUAUGGGAGCAACAGAGAGAGCAGCGCGGGGGGCUGCUGGAGGCGACAGUUCGGCAGAAGGCGGACGGGGGGAGGGGGGUUUAAGGCUGCAGCCGCUCCGCGUUCCCCCGCAGGAGCCAGCGGUGCCAGGAGGGCAGCGGAGCUCCCCGUACCGGGCCGGGCAUAAAUCCUCCUGUCAGAGAGGGGGCAAUUACGAGGCCGUAAAAAAGUCAGGAAGAUGGAUGCUCUCGAAUGAUGACUGAUUGCUAUUUGUGGUGGUGUUCGUAUGGGAAGCCCGAAGCUGGAUCCCGAAGCCUGCGGACGACGCUCCUGCCAACGCUCCGGGCUCUCCGGCUCAGCGCUGUGCCCGCCGCCGGGUGCCCCGGGGCGCUGCCGUAGGGCAGGGGCAGCCCGCAGCCCCACAGCGGCACGGUCCCACUGCAGGGCACGGAGCAGAGUGCAGUGCACCAACCACGGAGGAAUGGAAUCGGCAGUUGGGAAGUUACAGAACACUAAGAGCCAGGAAAUGAGCAGAUUAGAAAACUGAAUUUCCUCGCUGUCUUCCCCCUCGCGUGUACACAAAUAGCUAAUCUGAGACAGGUUUAUGGCCUUCACUUAUUUACUGGUGUGUCUCUCUGGCUAUCGUGCCCAUCAUCUGAGAUGUAAGCAGCAGAAGGGGAGCAUCAGAAAGGUGCAGUUGGGAUUUUUACUAGAAAUGGGUCGUAAAAAACGAGUAUGUUUUUAAAUAAUGGCCUUCCAGCCUAUUAUGGGAUAUAGAUUUAUUAGUCACUUUUAUGUUUGAAGCCAGGUUUGAAAACAACCUAGAUGUUGUUAGCGAAGUUUGGCUCUGAGGAAUGGAAAGCUGGUGUGUUAUGUUUGUGGGGUGUUUUUUUAUUAAAGGUUAAGGGACCAGAUUAAGAACAGCUGGAAAGGGUCACAGCUUGCGCGAGCGAGAGAGCAAUCAGCAGAUUGCCAGAUACACCUCGAGAAACAGAGCUGGUUUCCAUCUAUGCAAUGAGCCAACUUCAUGGAGGCAGAAGCAGGGCCCCGAGAGCUGUGAGCACGUGACUCCUAACGGCUUCCCAGCAUUUGGUAAAUAACCGUGCCCAGGAGAUGCCUUUUAAGUCUAGGUGCAUCAAAACAGCACAGAUGUAUUGCAGUACUGGAUGGAGUCAUUGAACCAUUAAGGUUGUAGAAGACCUCUAAGAUCAUCCAGUCUAAUUGUCCACUUACCACCAAUAUUGCCUACUAAACCAUUUCCCUCAGUACUGCAUCACCACAUUUCUUGAACGCCUCCAGGGACAGUGACUCUGCCACCUCCCCUGGCAACCUGUUACGGGACUUUACCACUGUUUCUGGGAAGACAUUUUUUCCUAACAUCCAACCUGAACCUCCCCUGGCACAACUUAAGGCCAUUACCUCUAAUCACUAGGAAAAAGAGCCCAACUCUCACCACAAUCUCCUUUCCAGGAGCUGUAGAGAGAAAUGAGGUCUCUCCUGAGUAGCCUUCUCCAGACAGAACAAUACCCCAGUUCCCACAGACAUUCCCCAUAAGACCUGUGCUCCAAAUCCUUCACAGCUUCACUUCUCUUCUCUGGACACACUCCAGGACUUCAAUGUCUUUCUACAAGUAGUGAGAGGCCCCAAACUGAACACAGUACUGGAGGUGCGGCCUCACCAGUGGAUGACAACACAUACCAACAGCUGCAGUUCAGGUGUUCUGCACAUACUGUUUCUGAAGGUCUCCAACAAAAAGGCAGCAGUCAUUUAAUGCUGUAGGUGAUGAGCCAAGAAGAAGAUAAGUUCUACAAAAGACAAGGAACACUUCCCAUUUUGGAGACUUCUCAUGCAUUGGCCUAAAAACACAAAAGUUGUUGGUUGUGGUUCAUUAUUCAUGAUACUAUUCUACCAGAUGGCUAUCAACAGGUAAGAGCAUCUCAAGCAAUAUCUUGAACAAAUAGUUACAGGCAACUGAAAAUCCUAUCUUUCUCCUCUGGUGAAGAGACCUUUUGGGAAGGCCCAUUCUUAUCCUGCAUUAAGUGAACAGCUCAGUAAUUCACUGAAGUUCUGGGGAUGUGGACUUUUCUGCACUUGUGGAGCCAGGCUCCUUAUAAUGAACAGACAUCUUAAAUAACCCAAAGAAACAUUUUCAUAUAAUUAGUUUAUCAAAGCAAUGUAUUUAAAUGUCAUUUUCCUGUUGUUUGAAAAAGAAUGAGAGUCCAGAGAUGAAGCUCUGGUAUAUUAAAAAGCAAAUAGAAAUAAAUAUUAUGUUCCAUGGUUA